rnacentral:lncRNA from 1 species
AGAUCCGUGCUCUAGUGCAACACCCUAGGACUCCUGAACCGUCAAGCCCAAUCACAGCUUAUCCCGAGCUUGGUUUGACCACACCACCUGUAGCUUUUUCCCAUCCCCCUAGGAACCAAAUUCCUCCUGAUCACCAGCGCGAUCUUGACGAGCGCCUACUUCGUACCGUACGAGUAGAUGCUCCCACAUUUGCUGGUCAAUUAGAGCCGAGUGUGUACCUUGAUUGGAG